AUUGAACGCUGGCGGCAGGCCUAACACAUGCAAGUCGAGCGGACGAACGGAGCUUGCUCCUCGCUUCAGCUGCCGACGGGCGGGUGAUUCCUACGUAUCUAACUGACAGAUGAGGCUAACGUCACUACGCGGGCCCUAAUACCGUAUACGUCCAUAUGUAGAACGUGAGGGAUCUUCGGACCUCACGCUAUUAGAUGACCCUAGGUCGGAUUAGCUAGUUGGUAGGGUAAAGGCUUACCAAGGCGACGAUCCGUAACUGCUCUGAGAGGAUGAUCAGUCACACUGGAACUGAGACACGGUCCAGACUCCUACGGGAGGCAGCAGUGGGGAAUAUUGGGCAAUGGGCGAAAGCCUGAUGCAGCCAUGCCGCGUGAGUGAAGAAGGUCUUCGGAUUGUAAAACACUUUUAGUUGGGAAGAAGAAAAGUGAGAGUAAAUCUGCACGUUUUGACGGUACCAAAAGAAAAAGCCACGGCUAACUUCGUG
rnacentral:rRNA from 1 species